UAUGUGAUCGUCUCUCGCAUAUCAAUAAGCGGAGGAAAAGAAACUAACAAGGAUUCCCCUAGUAACGGCGAGUGAAGCGGGAAGAGCUCAAAUUUGAAAUCUUAAAGGGUUUCCCUUUACGAAUUGUAGUUUAAAGAAGUGUUUUCUGUUGAGGUUUUGGUAAAAGUUCUUUGGAAUAGGACAUCAUAGAGGGUGAGAAUCCCGUAUUUGACCUUUACUUUCAACUUUGUGAUACACUUUCAAAGAGUCGGAUUGUUUGGGAAUGCAGUCCAAAAUGGGUGGUAAAUUUCAUCUAAAGCUAAAUAUUGGCGAGAGACCGAUAGCGAACAAGUACCGUGAGGGAAAGAUGAAAAGAACUUUGAAAAGAGAGUUAAACAGUACGUGAAAUUGUCAAAAGGGAAGCGUUUGACACCAGUGUUGUUUUUUCUGAAAAUCAAUUAAAGAACUGUUUAUGCUAAGUUGUUUAGACUUUAUCAGCUAACUGUUUAGUUUUGAGCUUUUCUUUAAUGCACUUUUCAGUUAACAAGUCAACAUCAAUUUCUUUUGCUGUAAAAAAGCUUGAGGAAGGUGGCUUGAGAUUCGUCUUAAGUGUUUAUAGCCUCUUGCCUAUGCAGUCGGAGAGAUUGAGGUCUGCAGCGUAGAUCCUUCGGGGCUAAAUGCAUUUGUGCUAAGUUAUAGCAUUUUAUAGACAACUUUGUUGACUAUGAUUUGUCUUGUAGCUUACUCGCUUAUGUUAUUUUACCUACGCUUAGGAUGUUGAUCUACAGAGCGAGAGU
rnacentral:rRNA from 1 species